CCUCGCGCUCCUUUACGGGAAGUGAUGUGGGGCCAGACGGAAAAUACCCGCCAAGGACCCGAAAAGGCCGGCAGCGGGUGGACGCCGCGCGCAGAGACAGAGCGGCGUGGGGACCGCGGGCGGAGCAGCACAUCACUGCAUAUAUAUUUAAACCAAUCCAUCUUUCAGGAAACAGAAGCACCACACAGCGUGCAGUUAGCAAAGAAGAGGACAUGUGAUUACAAGUUGCCUAAUUGUUGAAGUGUUGGAAACUCCAGUCUCUAAAGUUUUGGGAAAAUCAACCAGGAUUUAUACUUUGUCAAGGUAUGGUUAUGCCUUUUUUUUUUUUGGUGGUGGUGGGGAGGUAGAGGCUUCGAGUGCUGAGGUGCCAGUUUUCAGGUACUUAAAAUAGUGCAAUUUAACAUAAAACACC
rnacentral:lncRNA from 1 species